GCCCUCCCCUGUUUUAAAAUUUCUUCUUUCCAUUUUCUCUGAGUUUCAGACCCUAGUGCGGCCGACUCCGGCAUGUUGCCAUCACAGCGCCGCCGUGGCUCCGCCGUGGACGGUGGUUGGGGCCACGCAAAAUCUACCCUUUUUUAACCGUUUUAAAAAAAUCUUUGAAGGUCAAGCCUCCUAGGCCUCAAUGGCUGAAAGAAAAACCCCUCUCGCCCUUACGUGGUCCAACUUCGGCGAUGGGGAAGAAGAUUCCGGCGACGGGACCCGCGGGGCGAACCUAGGUGCAGGUGGAAGAGCGGCGCUGAAGGAGCGGCGAGGGCAGAACAGUUGGUGGCUAGGGUAGGUUAGGGUUUCUGUCACUAGUUUAGGUUGUGGGCUAGGUUUAUUUUGGGCUGAAUUGGGUAAAAUUUUUUUAGACUUAUAGACUGUUAAUUGAUUUUGGUUUGGUUUAUUUGGUACGGGCCCGGGCAAAUUUGGGCUUCUACAUAUAGAAUAAGAAAAAUAAACUUGCUCCCACUGACCUGAUCAAUGGUGUGUUCCUUAAAAUCAAAGGAAGUUAAACUUAAUAUACACCAUGUAUUUAAACCCCCAUUAAGAAAGAUAGUUUUGUAUCCAUUGGGUACAACUCUAAAUUAUAAUGGUUUUGUAAUCAAUGUCUUCUUUUUAAUUGAAACCUUUGGUGGUAA